rnacentral:rRNA from 1 species
AACUAGACGUCGGGAGCACUUGGCUUUCGGUGUCGCAGCUAACGCGUUAAGUUCUCCGCCUGGGGAGUACGCCGGCAACGGUAAAACUCAAAGGAAUUGACGGGGACCCGCACAAGCGGUGGAGCAUGUGGUUUAAUUCGAUGCAACGCGAAGAACCUUACCUGCCCUUGACAUUGACAGAACCCUGUAGAGAUACGGGGGUGCUACGGCCUGGAAAACAGGUGCUGCAUGGCUGUCGUCAGCUCGUGUCGUGAGAUGUUGGGUUAAGUCCCGCAACGAGCGCAACCCUUGUCCCUAGUUGCCAGCACUUCGGGUGGGAACUCUAGGGAGACUGCCGGUGACAAACCGGAGGAAGGUGGGGACGACGUCAUGUCAUCAUGGCCCUUAUGGGCAGGGCUACACACGUGCUACAGUGGGAAGUACAGAGGGCUGCCAACCAGCGAUGGUGAGCCAAUCCCUUGAAGCUUCUCGUAGUCCGGAUCGGAGUCUGCAACUCGACUCCGUGAAGUCGGAAUCGCUAGUAAUCGCGAAUCAGAAUGUCGCGGUGAAUACGUUCCCGGGUCUUGUACACACCGCCCGUCACACCAUGGAAGUAGGUUGCACCAGAAGUAGGUAGCUUAACCCU